GGGAGGAGACUGGUAGGAGACUGGUAGGAGGGAGGAGACUGGUAGGAGGGAGGAGACUGGUAGGAGACUGGUAGGAGACAGGUAGGAGGGAGGAGACUGGUAGGAGACUGGUAGGAGACUUGUAGGAGACUUGUAGGAGACUUGUAGGAGACAGGUAGGAGACAGGUAGGAGACAGGUAGGAGACAGGUAGGAGACAGGGAGGAGACGGGGAGGAGACUGGUACAGUUGAAGUUGGAAGCCAAAUACAUUUAAACUCAGUUUUUCACAAUUCCUGACAUUUAAUCUUUAACAUCUUUAACAUUUAAUACCCUGUCUGAGGUCAGUUAGGAUCACCACUUUAUUUUAAGAAUGUGAAAUGUCAGAAUAAUAGUAGAGUGAUUUAUUUCAGCUUUUAUUUCUUUCAUCACAUUCCCAGUGGGUCAGCAGUUUACAUACACUCAAUUAGUAUUUGGUAGCAUUGCCAUAAAAUUGUUUACAUUGGGUCAAACGUUUCGGGUAGCCUUCCACAAGCUUCCCACAAUAAGUUGGGUGAGUUUUGGCCCAUUCCUCCUGACAGAGCUGGUGUAAGUGAGUCAGGUUUGUAGGCCUCCUUGCUCGCACACGCUUUUUCAGUUCUGCCCACAAAUGUUCUAUAGGAUUGAGGUCAGGGCUUUGUGAUGGCCACUCCAAUACCUUGACUUUGUUGUCCUUAAGCCAUUUUGCCACAACUUUGGAAGUAUGCUUGGGGUCAUUGUCCAUUUGCGACUAAGCUUUAACUUCCUGACUGAUGUCUUGAGAUGUUGCUUCAAUAUAUCCACAUAAUGUUCCUACCUCAUGAUGCCAUCUAUUUUGGGAAGUGCACCAGUCCCUCCUGCAGCAAAGCACCCCCACAACAUGAUGCUUCCACCCCCACAACAUGAUGCUGCCACCCCCGUGCUUCACGGUUGGGAUGGUGUUCUUCAAGCCUCCCCCUUUUUCCUCCAAACAUAACGAUGGUCAUUAUGGCCAAACAGUUCUAUUUUGUUUCAUCAGACCAGAGGACAUUUCUCCAAAAAGUACGAUCUUUGUCCCCAUGUGCAGUUGCAAACCGUAGUCUGGCUUUUUAAUGGCAAUUUUGGAGCAGUGUCUUCUUCCUUGCUGAGCGGCCUUUCAGGUUAUGUCGAUAUAGGACUCGUUUUACUGUGGAUAUAGAUACUUUGGUACCUGUUUCCUCCAGCAUCUUCACAAGGUCCUUUGCUGUUGUUCUGGGAUUGAUUUGCACUUUUUGCACCAAAGUACAUUCAUCUCUAGGAGACAGAAUGUGUCUCCUUCCUGAGCGGUAUGACGGCUGCGUGGUCCCAUGGUGUUUAUACUUGCGUACUAUUGUUUGUACAGAUGAACGUGGUACCUUCAGGCGUUUGGAAAUUGCUCCCAAGGAAUACAUCCACAGGUACACCUCCAAUUGACUGAAAUGAAGCUUCUAAAGCCAUGACAUAAUUUUCUGGAAUUUUCCAAGCUGUUUAAAGGCACAGUCAACUUAGUGUAUGUAAACUUCUGACCCACUGGAAUUGUGAUACAGUGAAUUAUAAGUGAAAUAAUCUGUCUGUAAACAAUUGUUGGAAAAAUUACUUGUGUCAAAACUAUAGUUUGUUAACAAGAAAUUUGUGGAGUGGUUGAAAAACAAUUUUUAAUGACUCCAACCUAAGCUCUUACUUCAACUGUA